GUGUUGAGAUCUUCACCAAAGCAGACACACAUAGACUGAGUUUUACUAUUAUUGUAAGCUUUAAUGUAUUGUAUAUACCGAGAGAAUAGUUGAUUCUUGCAGUAUAUUUGAAUCUCCCAUUCCUUUCGUGAAUUGUUGUUUGCAUUGUAGUAACUGUCGAUUCAAGUGGUCAUUCAGUUUGGUCUUCAAGAGCGCUCUCUUUUGACUAACAGUGCUCUUCAAGAUUUAUAAACUUUGAAUUUGAUUAUCAUUUUAAUUAUUGAAUUUAUUGGUGACUGUGCACUGCUGUGCUAUAUGUGCUCUUUUUAUGUGUCGCGUUGUGAGAGGAUUAACAAAAAAUAAACUUUUUAAAGCAAUUGUGUGCCAAAACAUCAGGACAUAGAAAGAAGGAAACGAUUUCCAAACACUUAAUAUCUAUUUAGUGCUAAGAUUUUUAGAGUACUUUACUUAUAUUGAAUCCGAACCACAACACGACAUUCCCCAUCAAUACAAAUGGAAAUGGAUUUUAAGUGUAUUUAAGUGAACACACAAUUGCAUUGAUUAUUGCUAUCCUCUAAUUCAAAAUAACAAUAAUAUAAAGCAAACAACUUGGCAAACAUAAAACAACACACAAAGUGGUACAUAUAUUAAAUUUGUAAAAAAUAUUCAUUGGCGGCUA